rnacentral:rRNA from 1 species
CAACGUAGGUAACCUGCCCUGCAGUGGGGGAUACCCAGUCGAAAGAUUGGCUAAUACCGCAUUCGCUCUUCAGUUGGAAUACUGACGAGGAAAGAUUUAUCGCUGGAGGAGGGGCCUGGGUCCGAUUAGCUAGUUGGUGAGGUAAUGGCUCACCAAGGCGACGAUCGGUAGCUGGUCUGAGAGGACGAUCAGCCACACUGGAACUGAGACACGGUCCAG